UACGGGGGGGGGCAAGCGUUGUUCGGAAUUACUGGGCGUAAAGGGCUCGUAGGCGGCCAACUAAGUCAGACGUGAAAUCCCUCGGCUUAACCGGGGAACUGCGUCUGAUACUGGUUGGCUUGAGUGUGGGAGAGGGAUGCGGAAUUCCAGGUGUAGCGGUGAAAUGCGUAGAUAUCAGGAGGAACACCGGUGGCGAAGGCGGUUCUCUGGGCCUGUACUGACGCUGAGGAGCGAAAGCGUGGGGAGCGAACAGG
rnacentral:rRNA from 1 species